rnacentral:rRNA from 1 species
UCGAUGGAGAGUUUGAUCCUGGCUCAGGACGAACGCUGGCGGCGUGCUUAACACAUGCAAGUCGAACGAGGUCCAUCCUUCGGGAGAAGACCUAGUGGCGAACGGGUGAGUAACACGUGAGCAACCUGCCCCGAAGACCGGGAUAACAGCGGGAAACCGCUGCUAAUACCGGAUAUCCCCACCGGACCGCAUGGCCUGGUGAGGAAAUGAAUUUCGCUUCGGGAGGGGCUCGCGGCCUAUCAGCUUGUUGGUGGGGUAACGGCCCACCAAGGCGACGACGGGUAGCUGGUCUGAGAGGACGAUCAGCCACACUGGGACUGAGACACGGCCCAGACUCCUACGGGAGGCAGCAGUGGGGAAUAUUGCGCAAUGGGCGAAAGCCUGACGCAGC